GCUAAACAGCUAGCUCAAGCACAUAAACAACCGAACAACAUUAUUUCAAGACAUUAUUUUAUCUACUAAAUUAAAUCAUUCUUUUACCUGAGUAUGGGAGACAGAAAAGGUUAACUCGAAGCGAUAGAAAAAGUACCGCAAGGGAAGGCUGAAAGAGAAAUGAAAUAACCCAUAAAAGCAGAAAAAAGCAAAGAUUAAAUCUUGUACCUUUUGCAUCAUGAUUUAGCAAGUACCCUCAAGCAAAGAGCCCUAUAGUUUGAAACCCCGAAACCAAGUGAGCUACCCCGAGACAGCCUAUAUAAAUUAGGGCAAACCCGUCUCUGUGGCAAAAGAGUGGGAAGAGCUCCGGGUAGAAGUGAUAGACCUACCGAACUUGGUGAUAGCUGGUUGCUUAAGAAAUGGAUAGAAGUUCAGCCCCAUACCCCUCAAGCCAAUAACGGCACUGCCAAAUGACAGAGAGAGAAAUAUGGAAGUUAGUUGAAGGGGGUACAGCCCCUUUAACCAAGGACACAACCUUUGUAGAAGAAUAAAGAUCAUAAUUUUAAAGACUUACUGUUUUAGUGGGCCCAAAAGCAGCCAUCUAGUCAGAAAGCGUUAAAGCUCAGACAGAAAAUAGUUUAUUAUACCGAUAAAAAAUCUUAUUUCCCUUUAAUUAUUAAGCCAACCCAUGCCCUCAUGGGAGAAAUUAUGCUAAAAUGAGUAACAAGAAGGCCCGCCCUUCUCCCGGCACAAGUGUAAAUCAGAUCGGACAAACCGCUGAGCACUAACGAACCCAAAACAAGAGGGCAAUGUGAACUAUAAAAAAACCAAGAAGACCCCACAGUCAAAAAUCGUUAACCCCACACCGGAGUGCCAAUAAGGGAAAGACUAAAAGAAAGGGAAGGAACUCGGCAAACACAAGCCUCGCCUGUUUACCAAAAACAUCGCCUCCUGCAACUUUUAAUGUAUAGGAGGUCCAGCCUGCCCAGUGACUACGGGUUCAACGGCCGCGGUAUUUUGACCGUGCAAAGGUAGCGCAAUCACUUGUCUUUUAAAUAAAGACCUGUAUGAAGGCUAGACGAGGGCUUAGCUGUCUCCCCCCUCCAGUCAGUGAAAUUGAUCUAUCCGUGCAGAAGCGGGUAUAAACUUACAAGACGAGAAGACCCUUUGGAGCUUAAGGUACAAACUUAACCACGUUAAACAACUUAACAAAGAGAUAAAAACCUAGUGGCAUCUAAGACUUUACCUUCGGUUGGGGCGACCACGGAGGAAAGACAAGCCUCCAAGCGGAACGGGUAAAUACCCUAAAGUCUAGAGAGACAUCUCCACACCGCAGAACAUCUGACCAAUAAUGAUCCGGCGUAAAGCCGAUCAACGGACCAAGUUACCCUAGGGAUAACAGCGCAAUCCUCUCCCAGAGUCCAUAUCGACGAGGGGGUUUACGACCUCGAUGUUGGAUCAGGACAUCCUAAUGGUGCAGCCGCUAUUAAGGGUUCGUUUGUUCAACGAUUAAAGUCCUACGUGAUCUGAGUUCAGACCGGAGUAAUCCAGGUCAGUUUCUAUCUGUAACGCUACUUUUCCUAGUACGAAAGGAUCGGAAAAGAGGGGCCCAUGCCUAAAGCACGCCCCACCCCUAAUUAAUGAAAACAAAUAAAAUAAGUAAAGGGAGGGCCAAGGCCCAACCGCCAAGAUAAGGCUAU
rnacentral:rRNA from 1 species